CAAAAUCCUACCUCCACGCUUCUACUCUCCAGACGGACAACCCCAUCUCCAUCUCGUUCUACUUGCUCCCAUGGCUUCCUUGCUCUAAUCCCCCUCUGUUGGCGGCAAAUCCAUGGGAGAAACCAGCAAAAUGGAAAGAGGACGACAAGAGGAGCAAGAAGAGGGGCAUCUUCGAGGUGGAUUGGUCCUUUACCCUCUCUUCCCGCUGCUCUAGGGUUUGGGGAAGACCAAGGUGAUAAUGAUUCGUAUGGCGCCUAAAGUGGUCAUCUCUUUAUUGGAGGCUUUGGAAGAAACAUUGAGAAGCGAUGCUUCUUCAAGGCUUGGUGGUGAUCGGUACUUUAGUGGCUUUGCUUGAAGGGUGGGAAAGUAGCAGCACACCUCAAACUUCUAUGUCAUCAUCAAUAUUAAAAAUUUAUGUUGAAAUCAUAAUCUUUGUAGAAUUUGGUGCUUCUCCUUGUCGUUUUCCUUAAAUUUGCAAUGUGGUUCAUGUUGACUGGUUUA